rnacentral:rRNA from 1 species
UAGUCCACGCUGUAAACGUUGGGAGCUAGGUGUGGGGAUGCUAUCCUGUGUUUCUGCGCCGUAGCUAACGCAUUAAGUUCCCCGCCUGGGGAGUGCGGUCGCAAGGCUAAAAACUCAAAGGAAUUGACGGGGGCCCGCACAAGCGGCGGAGCAUGCGGAUUAAUUCGAUGCAACGCGAAGAACCUUACCAAGGCUUGACAUACACUGCGAUGGUUCCAGAGAUGGGCCAGCCUUCGGGGUGGUGUAC